UACGAAGGGAGCUAGCGUUGUUCGGAAUUACUGGGCGUAAAGCGCACGUAGGCGGAUUGCUAAGUCAGGGGUGAAAUCCCGGGGCUCAACCUCGGAACUGCCUUUGAUACUGGACAAUCUCGAGUCCGAUAGAGGUGGGUGGAAUUCCUAGUGUAGAGGUGAAAUUCGUAGAUAUUAGGAAGAACACCGGUGGCGAAGGCGGCCCACUGGAUCGGUACUGACGC
rnacentral:rRNA from 1 species